rnacentral:rRNA from 1 species
UGAGGAAUUUUGCGCAAUGGGGGAAACCCUGACGCAGCAACGCCGCGUGAGUGAAGAAGGCCUUCGGGUUGUAAAGCUCUGUCAAGUGGGAAGAACCUUUUUCGGCCGAAUAAGCCGAGAAACUGACGGUACCGCUGAAGGAAGCACCGGCUAACUCCGUGCCAGCAGCCGCGGUAAUACGGAGGGUGCAAGCGUUAUUCGGAUUUAUUGGGCGUAAAGGGCGUGUAGGUGGUCUGAUAAGUCAGGUGUGAAAGCCCCUGGCUCAACCAGGGAAGUGCAUUUGAAACUAUCAGACUUGAGUACGGGAGGGGGAAGUGGAAUUCCUGGUGUAGAGGUGAAAUUCGUAGAUAUCAGGAGGAAUACCGGUGGCGAAGGCGACUUCCUGGACCGAUACUGACAC